GACAUAAACAGCGUUUUUUCCGCUCGUUGACUAGUUGGCGAACACACGUGUUUUUGUUGUUGUUUGCUUGUAGUUGAGACCUGGUGGAGGUAUUGGUGAGUUGUUUGUGUGUAUUGUAUUAACACUCGUACAGAUUUUGGGGUGACCGAUUUUGGGAUGGAGGCGGAAUCGCCGGGGGACACCCCGGAUGCAAUGGAUACGUCAGUGACCCAAGAGAGAAGUAGGAAAAGAAAUGCUGAACCGAUAAAUCAAAAUACAACCACAAAGCGAGUUAUCACUAGCUCAGAUAAUGAAGCUGCAUCGACUGAGAACGUGUACACUCACCCUUCCCUCACUAUUCUAGACAGAACGUAUGGUCCCAACGACUUGGGUCCGUUCAUUGUCCACAUCACACGAAUCGAACCUGAUCCGGCAGCCGGAUUAUCUCUAAGACCUAUCAAAAUUGGACUUCUUCUCACUAAGAACAACAUUGAGAACAUUGUUCGUGAUGGUGUUAAGUCAGUAGGUAGAAAUAGAGUUUCAAUCGAAUUUAAACGAGGUGAGGAUGCUAACACAUUUCUACAGCAUAAAUGCCUAAAUGGUUGUAAGCUUAAAGCUAGUAUCCCCGCUUUCAACGUUACAAGAAUGGGUCUCGUCAGAGGCGUUCCUAAGGAGUGGUCCAUGGUGGAACUCGUAGAAUCUCUGGAAUUACCCGAGAACUGUGGUAAAGUCCUCAAGGCGAGGAGACUUAAUCGUAAAAUAAUUAAUGAAGGUACUCCAUCUUGGGUACCUACUCAAUCUGUUGUCCUCACAUUUAGUGGCCAAGUUUUGCCAAAACAUAUAUAUGCAUACUAUACAUCAAUGGUUGUUGAAAAAUACCUCUUACCCACAAUACAGUGCCACAGCUGCUGUAGAUUUGGCCAUGUUAAAUUACAAUGCAGAAGUAAACCCAGAUGUUUCAAAUGUGGUCAGGAACAUUUUGGAGAAAGCUGUCAGUUAACAGGAAAUGCUUUGUCCUGUGUUCUGUGCACAGGCAAACAUCAGGCUACAUAUAAAGACUGCCCAGAACACCAACGCCAACGCAGCAUUAAAAUUAUGAUGUCAGAAAAUAAUAUAUCAUAUAUUGAGGCCGCAAAUAUAGUUCCCCCAGUGCGCAAAGCUUACUCCUAUGCUGACAUCUCGGCCACAAUGUUCGCCCCAGUGCAGGAGAUUCCAUUAAAUAGACCUCCUGUAAUGAACCCCAGCAAAUCCUAUAGGAAAACUACUUUCUCUUCACCACGCCCCAGACCGCCCCCCUCCAAAGGCUUCAACAAACAAGCUCAUAGCGCUAUUGUUAAUCCCCCCUCAUUUUCCUCACCCAAUGGAAGUGCUCUGCACAAUCAAAUUAAGUUUUCCACAGAGGAUCUCAUAGAAAUAGUAACAACCUUAAUUAAUAACUGUGUGCUGAAACCUCACACAAACAUACCGAACAACGUUGCUCAAAAAAUAGAAAAAUUUACUUCCCACUUUAAUGUUCAUAAUGGCUCAGAUAGUCCAAUGGAACAGCAGGAGUGUUAAAAAUAAAAAAAUCGAAAUAACCUCACUCAUAAAACACCACCAUCCCGUCAUAGUUGCCCUCUCUGAGACAUGGCUGAGGCCUGAGUCUUCUUUCAGAAUUCCGGGCUUCGCCUGUCUUCGGGACGACAGACAUGAUGGACAUGGUGGUUGUGCAUUACUCAUUAAAAAAUCCCUAGUAUAUUCUCAAAUUCCCCUGUCUAUAAAUUCACAAAAUAUUAACAUAGUUGCAGCUCGAAUUUUAAAUAAAACAUUUGUUUCUAUCUAUAUACCUUAUCCUAAUAACAAUAUCAAAGAUGAAUUAGUAUCUCUGCUCCUUCAACUCCCUACACCUCUAAUCUUAUUGGGAGAUUUUAACUGCCAUCACAUCUCUUGGGGCUGCUAUUACAGUGACUCUUUUUCUAAUGUACUUAUUGAUAUAUUUGAUAGAAUUAAUGUGUGUAUACUGAACGAUGGAUCCCCAACUCGCAGGGUUUACCCUGGUCAAGAUCCUAGAUCAGCUGUAGACUUGUCAGCUUGCCCACCAGAUAUUGCCAUAUCAACAUCUUGGAAGGUAUUACCACACACACAUGGAAGUGACCAUUUCCCAAUUGUAAUAUCAUUAGAUCAAUAUGUAACACCUGUCUUACCCCCUAAACCCCUCUUAAAGUAUAGACUCAAUAAAGUAGAUUGGAAACUGUAUGGAAAUUCUGUGGAAACCUUUUUGUCAAGACUUGAACCCAGAACCUCUGGAACCUUGCAAAGGUAUGAUCUGUUUCAGCAAGCUAUAUUAAGUGCUGCUGAAACUCAUUUCCCCCUAAAACAAAACUGCCAAAAGUUUCUGUCUCCGCCCUGGUGGGAUUCAGAGUGCACAACAGUAAUACAAACAAGAGAUGAGUCAGAGACUACAUAUAACAAUAGUAUGACUCCAGAAAAUUUCAUUGCUUUCCAAAAAAACUCUGCCAAAUCUAGAAGAACCCUUUCUAAAAAGAAAAAAAAUGGUUGGAAAGGCUUUUGUGAGAGUUUGUCUCCUAGAUCCCCUUCAGGUCUAGUCUGGAAAAGCAUUAAAAGAUAUAGAGGUUCUAAAAAGAUGGAUUCCCCCAUAACUAAUGAUCCAGCAAUGUGGAUACACAAAUUUGAAUCACAAUUAGCCCCGCCAUUUGUCCCAGACCUGGCAUAUUUCCCAACCUCUAACAAUUUUAGGAAUUCAGACAGACUUGACAAAGAAUUUUCAUUUGAAGAACUCCAGAUAGUAUUAGGAGCUGUUCAAGAUUCCUCUCCUGGAGAAGAUGGAAUCCCAUACUCGUUUCUAAAAAAUUUAACUGUCAAUGGCAAACAACAUUUACUUGACUUACUAAACAAUAUAUUUAUAACGGGAAAUAUUCCACAAUCCUGGAAAACCCAAAUUAUCAUUCCCAUUCUGAAGCCAGGUAAGGACCCUGCUGAGCAUAACUCCUAUCGCCCAAUUGCUCUAUCAUCCACUCUCUGUAAGGUACUAGAACACAUGAUUAAGAAUAGACUAGAAUGGUUCGUAGAAAGCCGAGACAUGUUGGGAAAGACCCAGUUUGGCUUUCGUAAGAGUAGAAGCACAGCUGACAGUCUAAGUAUGCUCGCUACCAAUAUACAUCUUGCCUUCUCAAGAGGGGAAUACCUGGUAGGUAUCUUUCUGGACAUAAGCUCUGCAUAUGAUAGUGUUGAUCUUCCUAUACUCAGGCGUAAAAUGCUUAAUCUGAGUAUUCCUGCGAGGAUUGUACACUUUGUCAUGAAUUUAUUCAUGGAUAGGUCUAUCAAAAUUCGUGUUAAUGAAGAACUUAGGCCCCCCAGAACUGUGUGGAAAGGCCUUCCUCAGGGAUCUGUCCUUAGCCCAUUGCUGUACAAUAUUUACACUAGUGAUCUAGAAUUAGCAGUUGACAGUUUUUGUAACACACUACAAUAUGCAGAUGACCUGGCUCUAUACUCCUCAAGCAAUUCAAUUAGUGAAAUAUCCAUACAGCUAAACUCUGCCAUGCAUUACCUGAGUAUUUGGCUAUCAGAACACGGAUUAACUCUCUCUGCGUCUAAAAGUAAAGCAGUAAUUUUCACUAGAAAAAGAACAAUUCCAGACCUAGAAAUAAGGUAUGAAGACCAGAUCAUUCAGAUGGACUCCUCAGCUAAGUUUUUGGGCGUUAUAUUUGAUUCAAAGUUAACAGGGUCCCAACACUUCAGUUAUAUUGCUGAAAAGAGUGAAAAAGGAGUUAACAUAAUAAGAGCUCUGUCUGGUGUAUGGUGGGGUUCUCACCCAUACUGCCAGAAGCUUUUAUAUAAUGCACUUAUCAGAAGCCAUUUUGAUUAUGGUUCCUUUAUAUUUGAACCAUGUAAUAAAGAAGGGCUGGAAAAGCUUAACUUGGUGCAAACAAAGUGUCUUCGCAUAAUUGUAGGAGCCAUGAAAUCCUCCCCCAAUGCAGCUUUGAUGGUAGAGUGUGUUGAUCCCCCCUUAGAUCUGCGGAGACAAUACUUAUCAGAUCGGUAUGUUUCUAAAUUGAUUCAAGUAAGUUCACACCCCCUAUUACCUUAUUUAGACUCUCUUUCACAUAAGGUUAAUAUUGACAACUAUUGGGUAAAUAAGGAUCCCCCUAGACUUGUCAGGAGUUAUAGGCGAUGCAAAGCAUUACCUCAACCAAUAUCUCAAUCACCAGCGCCUCCCAUUUUUAAUUGUAGUUUUGAUGCCCUUAUCUUCAAGCCUAAUGUCUUGUUAGAUCUUGGUAUAUCCAAAAAUGACAGAGAAGCUAAUAGAAAACUAUAUCAAGCCUUAGGAGAAAAUUGGAUGGGAUGGACCAUAAUAUUUACUGAUGCCUCCAGAUUAACUACCAACGGAAAUGUAGGCUCAGCCGUGUGGAUACCGAAGUACAAUGUAGUGCUCUUAUUUAAAAAUCCUUGUCAGACAUCGGUAUUCACCGGUGAAGCUAUUGCCAUUCAUGAGGCGGUACAAUAUGCCAAAUCCCAUAGCCUAACUAAAAUAUUGAUACUUUCCGAUUCAAAAAGUUGUUUGCAGGCUAUAUCAGGCAACAUCUUUAAAAGCAGCAGUAAUAGCUCCCAGAUAAUUAUUAACAUCAAAGAAGCACUACAUUAUUGUUGUGUUAAUAAUUUUGAAAUAGCUUUAGCAUGGAUCCCUGGACAUAGUGGGAUAUCUGGUCUAACAAGCGGUAUAUAUAAGAGCGGUCUCUACAAGAACUGAAAAGAAAGCGCAACGGAACAAACAACAUGAUGUCUUUUCCACUACGUUGACAUUGGCGGAAUUAUUGCGAAACAAUCGCAGUACAAAGUGCCAUAGACAA